UGGGGAAUCUUGCGCAAUGGCCGAAAGGCUGACGCAGCGACGCCGCGUGGAGGAUGACGCCCUUCGGGGUGUAAACUCCUGUUGCCCGGGACGAAUACCCGUUUCGACGGGGGUGACGGUACCGGGUGAGGAAGCACCGGCUAACUCUGUGCCAGCAGCCGCGGUAAUACAGAGGGUGCGAGCGUUGUCCGGAAUCACUGGGCGUAAAGGGCGCGUAGGCGGCUGGGUAAGCGUGUGGUGAAAGCCCAGGGCUCAACCCCGGGUCGGCCAUGCGAACUGUCCAGCUGGAGCACGGUAGAGGCACAUGGAAUUCCGGGUGUAGCGGUGGAAUGCGUAGAGAUCCGGAAGAACACCGGUGGCGAAGGCGGUGUGCUGGGCCGUGGCUGACGCUGAGGCGCGACAGCGUGGGGAGCAAACA
rnacentral:rRNA from 1 species